UGAAGACUGCCCAUGGAGAACAGAAGUAUGUGGCGCAAUUACAGUUUGUUAAACAGUGACUUCAAAUUACUACUUACUAAUUUAAGUUCUACUUCUGCUUUCUUGUGAAUGAUUUUCAUUGUUAAAUGUAUGUCUUACAGACGACCACAGUUGGACCAAAUGCACUGCUGGUAGAAGAUUUGCAUACUGUUGUCCUGGCAAAUACGAAGUGGGUGAUGCUACUCAUCCAAACAUCGCUCAACAGAUGACCACAGUUGGAGAAGAUGCCCUGCUAGAUGGGGGCUCGAAGCCUUUCCUUUCAAACACCGAAGGGGAUGAUGAUGCUACUCGUCCGAUAAUCACUAAACGGAUGACCACAGUUGGAGACGAUGCCCUGCUAGAUGGGGGCUCGAAGCCUGUCCUUUCAAACACCGAAGGGGAUGAUGAUGCUACUCGUCCGAUAAUCACUAAACAGAUGACCACAGUUGGAGACGAUGCCCUGCUAGAUGGGGGCUCGAAGCCUGUCCUUUCAAACACCGAAGGGGAUGAUGUUGCUACUCGUCCGAUAAUCACUAAACAGUUUAAUUAUCACUCUAUUCUUGACACUUACGAUGUCCCCACAACACACCUUUUAGUCAGUGUUUGGCUAGAAGCUUUGGGUGAAACAUUGGAGACAACUGGUCCCCACAGGGAACAACUGGUCCCCCACAGGGAACAUCCUCACAUCGAGAGCCCUGAAAUUCCACCAACCAAGAAGCGAAGACAACGGCCGUUGGUUGAAAUGCCGGAAGAAGUCGGCGCUAUGAGGCCUUCCUCACAAGCAGAGUCUCUUCCUCACAUCGAGAGCCCUGAAAUGCCACCACCCAAGAAACGCAGACAACGGCCUUUGGUGGAAAUGCCGGAAGAAGUCGGCGCUAUGAGGCCUUCCUCCCAAGGUAAAGCUGCAAAGAAGAAAAAACCCUGGCAGCCGACAGAGGUCCAGGCAGUCGAGAGGCACAUGACUCGCUUCAUCACCUCUUGCAUUGUACCUGGGAAGAGUGAUUGUGAGAAAUUUUUAAGGGUUGAACCAGAAGCACUACAGAACCGGGAUUGGCAGAACCUUAAAUUCUACAUUCAUAACCGAAUUAAGUCCUACAAAAAGAAGUGGCAAUGAAAAUAGUUUAUGCAUUGCAUGUAUAAUGUAUAAUAUUAUACAUUAUACAUGUAUAAUAAUUUUUAAUUAUUAUACAUGUAUAUAUAUCCACGUAAUUUAAACAUGAGUCUGAAAGAAGUUUAAUUAUUAUAGAUUUAAAUUUCAGGUAGUCGUUCAGUACUAUCAUUUUGCUCAGAAAGGCCAAAAAGGGCAUAAUUUUAAAAGAAUAUGCUGACGUUUCUACCUUGAUUCUGUAUUUCUAGAUGCUUUGUAUCCAACAAAUCUUGUUGAAGGGCCAAUAAAAGCCCAAAAAUGAGUGAGAC
ensembl:lncRNA